CAAGUCGAACGAACCCUUCGGGGUUAGUGGCGGACGGGUGAGUAACACGUGGGAACGUGCCCUUUGGUACGGAAUAACUCAGGGAAACUUGAGCUAAUACCGUAUGUGCCCUUCGGGGGAAAGAUUUAUCGCCAUUGGAGCGGCCCGCGUCUGAUUAGCUAGUUGGUGAGGUAAUGGCUCACCAAGGCGACGAUCAGUAGCUGGUCUGAGAGGAUGACCAGUCACAUUGGGACUGAGACACGGCCCAAACUCCUACGGGAGGCAGCAGUGGGGAAUCUUGCGCAAUGGGCGAAAGCCUGACGCAGCCAUGCCGCGUGGAUGAUGAAGGUCUUAGGAUUGUAAAAUCCUUUCACCGGGGACGAUAAUGACGGUACCCGGAGAAGAAGCCCCGGCUAACUUCGUGCCAGCAGCCGCGGUAAUACGAAGGGGGCUAGCGUUGCUCGGAAUUACUGGGCGUAAAGGGCGCGUAGGCGGACAUUUAAGUCGGGGGUGAAAUCCCAGGGCUCAACCCUGGAACUGCCUUCGAUACUGGAUGUCUUGAGUGCGGGAGAGGUGUGUGGAACUCCGAGUGUAGAGGUGAAAUUCGUAGAUAUUCGGAAGAACACCAGUGGCGAAGGCGACACACUGGCCCGUUACUGACGCUGAGGCGCGAAAGCGUGGGGAGCAAACAGGAUUAGAUACCCUGGUAGUCCACGCCGUAAACGAUGAUUGCUAGUUGUCGGAGUGCAUGCACUUCGGUGACGCAGCUAACGCAUUAAGCAAUCCGCCUGGGGAGUACGGUCGCAAGAUUAAAACUCAAAGGAAUUGACGG
rnacentral:rRNA from 1 species